rnacentral:rRNA from 1 species
AUGAACGCUGGCGGCGUGCCUAAUACAUGCCAGUCGAGCGAACGGACGAGAAGCUUGCUUUUCUGAUGUUAGCGGCGGACGGGUGAGUAACACGUGGCUAACCUACCUAUAAGACUGGGAUAACUUCGGGAAACCGGAGCUAAUACCGGCUAAUAUUUUGAACCGCAUGGUUCAAAAGUGAAAGACGGUCUUGCUGUCACUUAUAGCUGGAUCCGCGCUGCAUUAGCUAGUUGGUAAGGUAACGGCUUACCAAGGCAACGAUGCAUAGCCGACCUGAGAGGGUGAUCGGCCACACUGGAACUGAGACACGGUCCAGACUCCUACGGGAGGCAGCAGUAGGGAAUCUUCCGCAAUGGGCGAAAGCCUGACGGAGCAACGCCGCGUGAGUGAUGAAGGUCUUCGGAUCGUAAAACUCUGUUAUUAGGGAAGAACAUAUGUGUAAGUAACUGUGCACAUCUUGACGGUACCUAAUCAGAAAGCCACGGCUAACUACGUG